rnacentral:lncRNA from 1 species
UUUUUUUUUUGUUUUUUUUUUUUUUUGCCUUUUAGGGCUGAACCCAUGGCACAUGGAAGUUCCCAGGCCAGGGGUCGAAUUGGAGCUACAGCUCUCAGCCUACACCAAAGCCACAGCAACUCAGGAUCCAGGCCAUGCCUGCAACCUACACCACAGCUUAUGGCAACACUGGAUCCCCCACCACUGUGGGAGCCGAGGGAUCAAACCUUCGUCCUCACGGAUACUAGUUGGAUUCGUUUCCGCUGUGCCACAGUGGGAACUCCUCUUGCUUUGUUUUUAAUAGACUACUUUUAGGGGAGUUUUAGGCUCACAGCAAACUUGAGCAGACAGUACAGAGAUUUCCUACACCCCCAAUCCUUCCCUGCGCGUGGCCUCCCCCACUUUCUACACCUCACACCAUAGGGAACGUUUAUUACAAGCCACAAACCUACAGUGACGUCACUAUCACCAAAGUGGAUUACACUGCAGCUCACUCUUGACACUGUACUAUGAGUUUGGACAAACAUGUAACGACAUGUAUCCACCACUGAGGUAGCGUAAGAGUGUUUUCACUGCCUUAAAAGUCCUCUGUGCACCGCCUGUUCAUCCCAACCCCAACCCUGGCAACCACUGAUUUUUUACUGUCUUGUUCUGCCUUUUCCAGAGCAUCUUAUAGUUGGAUUACAGUAUCGAGCCUUGUCAGACUGGCUUCUUUCACUUAUAAUAUGCACUGAGUUCCUCCAGGUCUUUUUGUGAUGUGAUGGCUCAUUUUUUUAGCUCUGAAUAACAUUCCAUUGUCUGAAUGUACCACCGUUUAUUCCUUAAGUAACUGAAGGACUUCUUGGUUGCUUCCAUGUUUUGGCAAUUAUGAAUAAAACUUUUUUUUUUUUUUUUGUCUUUUUGCCAUUUCUUGAGCUGCUCCCGCAGCAUAUGGAGGUUCCCAGGCUAGGGGUCGAAUCGGAGCUGUAGCCACCAGCCUACGCCAGAGCCACAGCAACGCAGGACCAGAGCCGCGUCUGCAACCUACACCACAGCUCACGGCAACGCCGGAUCAUCAACCCACUGAGCAAGGCCAGGGAUCGAACCCGCAACCUCACGGUUCCUAGUCGGAUUCAUUAACCAUUGAGCCACGAUGGGAACUCCAUGAACAAAACUUCUAUCAGCAUUUGUGUGCAGGUUUUUGUGUGGACAUAACUGUUCAGUUCCUUUGGGUAAAUGCCAGAAGAGCACAACUGCUGGACCAUAGGGUAAGGGGAUGCUGAGUUUUGUAAUAAAUUGCCAAACUGUCUUCCAAAGUAGCUGUAUCAUUUUUCUUUCAGAGUUUAAUAGGAGGAGGAGGAUUAAGGAGAUAUAGUAUAUAUACAUAUAUAUGUAUAUAUGCAUUUUGAGACUGGUCAAUUACAUUGUUUCAAUAGACAAAUCCAAUUUGGAAUUCAUGCUGUUUAUUUAAACAACAAAUAUAAGUGAAAGAAGAACUCCAAAUUACUAAGCCAUUUUACUCAUAACAAAAAGUAUUUAUGUGCUGAGAUGAUUAUGCUGAAUGCUAUGCCUGUGUCCUCUGUUAGACAGAGAGGGAAGAUACAGUUCUUGCUUUAAACCGCUCACAGCCUAGGACGAGGGAAGACAAAUUCACUGAAUAAUCAAAAUUAUCCAACCUACAGAACAAGAGCGCUACAAGCCCCAAUUCUAUGCAGAGCAUGUAGCAAAUUUACAAUUCUUUCUUCUGAAGACGGGAGCAAAGCAUAGGUUUAUGGGAAAGACGGCCAGAUUCUAGUAGAGAGUCUUGCUCCCUGGGGCAGUCACAUGAGAAGUAACCCAUGUCCUAGAGCCUAUCUUACUAUCAUUCCACAAAAUUAUCUUUAAACAGCCACUUCAUUUCGGCUGUCCAGUCUUCAGGGAAAUAUCCCGUCGGACCUCAUCCAGGUUGGGAAAGGCAUUUCGUAGGCUCAGACCAUCAGCUCAGGUCUAGGGAAUCUAGCUAGGGCUCCCAUCGGGGUCCAAAGCCAAGACCUAGUGUGACACAGCCCCAGCCCCAGCCGGGUAGGAUGCCGUGGCCCUAGUACCACUAACUCCUUUAACAAGCUCUGAACUCGCUCUUGCUCCCUGGGAUAUGGUAGUAACAGCACUGAAAUUAAACAUUUCUCCUUUCAUCCUCUUACUAUGGGCCUAGUCUGAGAAGCGAAUCUUACCCACCAUCGGCAGCCUGGCAUUUAAUCUUAGUGGUCUAUAUCCUUUUUGAAUAAAGUUAUUCUUUCUUGGGACUGUUAGUCCUUUCGCCGGCUCUGUGCUUUGAAAGCAGCCUCAGAGAUGAGUGACAAUCCAUCCCACGAGAGGGGUCUUCACGCUUGGGGCCCUGAGGAGGUCCUACCUUCAGUUUCUGUCUCUUUGCAGUUAAUUGUCAUUGGAACGUACGUGCUCAACAAAUAUUUGCUGAGUGAAUACAUGCCACCCUAUGCCCUGUUGCCAAAGCUGUGCCCAGAGAACUGUGAAUGCAAGGGACAGGCUUUGGCCCCGGACGGGACUGGCUGGAAUGUCGGUCAGGGCCUGGAGCCAGGGAGGAGGUGGUGACCACAGGAUCCAAACACACCUGAGCCUGAGUGUGGACGAUGCCGGCAGCGCCAAGACUGUGCCGUCUCUUCCGUCUGCAGCAGGCUCUGCUCCCUCCUCGUGUCCCGAUCCGCAGGACUCUCCUCGUUCAUCACUUGAAACCUACACCUAAGUUCCUGAGGGACCAGCGGGAUCCGGAAAGCAGUUGAUUCCAGUUCCCUUACCUGAGAGGUGGCUGAGCAUCUUUUAUAACAAGCAUUACAAAUAAAAAUGAGAACCAGAAAAAAAAACUGAUCAAAGUCCCUGAGAAGUAAAAGCGCAGACGAACACCUCACAGCUCACAGAGGAGGAAACCGAGAGACCCAGAAAUGAUACCCCUAUGUCCCCAUACAGGGGUGACAGAGCUAGGAGGGGACUCUUCUGCUGUUUCAAACCCCUGCCACAUGCUGAGAAGGGGCACCUUUCAGGGCAGAACCAUCCAAAUGUAAAAGCGCAGUUUUCUCACAGGGCUUCAUGGACAGAACCAUCUGCAUGGGAAGGAAAGCCCCUCAUUUCGAUCUAUUUACCCUUUCAGGUGGCAUCUGCUAAAAGCACAACAGAACCCAGAGAGGCGCGUUUUCCAAACACGUGUCUCAUGGAACUCCACCAAGACAGACAACGUACAGAAUCUAAGUGCAGAAGGGCCAAGUGAGAAGCAGGUCCACACUGGGACGGUUUAAGCCACUAGCCUAUUCCCACUUCCCAAACGUGCUGGGCACGUGAGAGGCGCUCGACAGCGGCGUCGGAGGGACCGGUCCUGCCGAUGAGCCCCCGUCCACUCGUGUCUGGAUUCCUGAGGCAGCAGCUCUACCCUCCUGCCUGCCUCUCACUUAUCCCAGAGUCCCUCCAACUUUAUGCUUUCGGCCAAACUAUUCCGCAACUGGCAGAUUUCUCUUCAUCUUGUCUGACACCAUCCUAGAGACCACCCCACCUUCCUCCACAAAGCUGGGGGGGGGGGUGGAGGAGGAGAAAGCGGUGUGUCAGGAGGCCUGGCUUUUGCCCCCAAACCCUGGGGGUCAGGUUGCCUCCCCAGAACAGGGCACCCAAAGUUACCCAGUUGCGGUACACUUAGGAAGUAAGGGACCAGGGGAGUGGGAGCAGCGGAUGAAACCACCAGUGGCCUGAACCACGAGACACAGGUUCAGAAGUCACCGGCUGCGAGGACAAUAUUUCAGAUGCGUUCACACCCAGGGUGGGGGAUGGGGUAAAGCAGAGCCUGGUCCCCUGCGGGAAGAAACAACGUGACGUGAAAUGUGAGAGCCCCGAGUUGAAAGGCGUUGAGAAAACAAUUUGGAAACCAGAAUCGGGGAGUUCCCCGCGUGACUCAGUGGAAACGAAUGUGCAUCCAUGAGGACGCACUGGCCUCGCUCCUCAGUGGGUUAAGGAUCCAGCGUUGCCGUGAGCCACAGACACGGCUCGGAUCUGGCGUUGCCGUGGCUGUAGUUGUAGGCCAGUGGUUGCAGCUCCAAUUCAACCCCUAGCCUGGGAACCUCCAUAUGCCGCGGGUUUGGCCCUAACACCAAAAAACAAACCAAAAAAGGAGAGUUGUCAACUUACCUAUUACCUUCUAUUUAGGACACAGCAAGUGUCACAUUUCACUAUGUGAAAUUUAUCUCUGCUUCCUAUCACCAAAAAUUGUUGUAAUCUGUUUAUUUUUCCGACCAAGACGUAAGCUGUUAUCUGUAAGACAGGAUUUCUGGUCUCCCUGGAAUCCAGUCUCUAAGUUCUAUGCAUAAAUCACUGGUCUCUUACUUUGAGCCACAGCAGAAUAUCCUACCAAGAUCCGACCCCGGGAAAUUAAUUUAUACCACUGUACACGGUGAGGAAAGCGUACCGCAGACGUAGCAAAGUCUGAGUGUAAUAAAAACGAGCUUGAUUCUCACCUUGGCCUGCACCGAAUGGUCACAUACUCGAGACCAGCUAAUUGUCUGAACCCCUGGUCCACACAUCUCCUUGUGAAGAGGUGGGAAUUGUUUACUGACAACUUCCACUUGGUUUCAAUGAUUCAGGAUCAACCCCCGCCCCUCCCCCGCCGAGCACUCUGACUCGGGGGACCAUGUGAUUCUGUGAGAUUUCCAUUUCCUUGAAGUUAGCACGAUCUGACUCUCUUCCCACAGAAUCUCGUUCUCGGUGGGUCACAGGGUUCGGCAUCACUACCCGCAGGGUGCUUGAGCAGGGGUAGACGGAGACAAUGCAUUUCUUGGAGAGACAUCCAUGCUAACGCUUUCAUGGGAAAACCAUCAGCUGCUUGGGCCUGGUGCCCUGGACAAGCUCUUACAUCGGCUGUGGGCUCCUCCAAACGCAAGAGCUGCCCAUUCAUGCCGAACUGAAACAGCUACCAUUAAACACCAUGCCACAUCGAAUGGAGCCUGGUCUACAAAAUCUUGUUUAUCUAAC